rnacentral:rRNA from 1 species
AUUGAACGCUGGCGGCAGGCCUAACACAUGCAAGUCGAGCGGAUGAAGGGAGCUUGCUCCUGGAUUCAGCGGCGGACGGGUGAGUAAUGCCUAGGAAUCUGCCUGGUAGUGGGGGAUAACGUCCGGAAACGGGCGCUAAUACCGCAUACGUCCUGAGGGAGAAAGUGGGGGAUCUUCGGACCUCACGCUAUCAGAUGAGCCUAGGUCGGAUUAGCUAGUUGGUGGGGUAAAGGCCUACCAAGGCGACGAUCCGUAACUGGUCUGAGAGGAUGAUCAGUCACACUGGAACUGAGACACGGUCCAGACUCCUACGGGAGGCAGCAGUGGGGAAUAUUGGACAAUGGGCGAAAGCCUGAUCCAGCCAUGCCGCGUGUGUUAAGAAGGUCUUCCGAUUGGAAAGCACUUUAAGUUGGGAGGGAGGGCAGUAAGUUAAUACCUUGCUGUUUUGACGUUACCAACAGAAUAAGCACCGGCUAACUUCGUG